rnacentral:rRNA from 1 species
CCCUGGCUCAGGAUGAACGCUGGCGGCGUGCUUAACACAUGCAAGUCGAACGAUGAUCCCAGCUUGCUGGGGGAUUAGUGGCGAACGGGUGAGUAACACGUGAGUAACCUGCCCUUAACUCUGGGAUAAGCCUGGGAAACUGGGUCUAAUACCGGAUAUGACUCCUCAUCGCAUGGUGGGGGGUGGAAAGCUUUAUUGUGGUUUUGGAUGGACUCGCGGCCUAUCAGCUUGUUGGUGAGGUAAUGGCUCACCAAGGCGACGACGGGUAGCCGGCCUGAGAGGGUGACCGGCCACACUGGGACUGAGACACGGCCCAGACUCCUACGGGAGGCAGCAGUGGGGAAUAUUGCACAAUGGGCGAAAGCCUGAUGCAGCGACGCCGCGUGAGGGAUGACGGCCUUCGGGUUGUAAACCUCUUUCAGUAGGGAAGAAGCGAAAGUGACGGUACCUGCAGAAGAAGCGCC